GUGGGGAAUCUUGCGCAAUGGGCGAAAGCCUGACGCAGCCAUGCCGCGUGAAUGAUGAAGGUCUUAGGAUUGUAAAAUUCUUUCACCGGGGACGAUAAUGACGGUACCCGGAGAAGAAGCCCCGGCUAACUUCGUGCCAGCAGCCGCGGUAAUACGAAGGGGGCUAGCGUUGCUCGGAAUUACUGGGCGUAAAGGGCGCGUAGGCGGAUCGUUAAGUCAGGGGUGAAAUCCCAGAGCUCAACUCUGGAACUGCCCUUGAUACUGGCGAUCUUGAGUGUGAGAGAGGUAUGUGGAACUCCGGGUGUAGAGGUGAAAUUCGUAGAUAUUCGGAAGAACACCAGUGGCGAAGGCGACAUACUGGCUCAUUACUGACGCUGAGGCGCGAAAGCGUGGGGAGCAAACAGGAUUAGAUACCCGGGUAGUCC
rnacentral:rRNA from 1 species